UACGAAGGGUGCAAGCGUUGUUCGGAAUUACUGGGCGUAAAGCGCGCGUAGGCGGGUCUGUAAGUUGAUUGUGAAAUCCCUGGGCUUAACCUGGGACGUGCAGUCAAAACUGCAGAUCUUGAAUGUCUGAGAGGAUGGCGGAAUUCCCGGUGUAGUAGUGAAAUACGUAGAUAUCGGGAAGAACACCUGAGGCGAAGGCGGCUAUCUGGCGGAACAUUGACGCUAAGGCGCGAAAGCGUGGGGAGCAAACAGG
rnacentral:rRNA from 1 species